UACGUAGGCAGCGAGCGUUGUUCGGAGUUACUGGGCGUAAAGGGUGCGUAGGCGGUUGUUUAAGUUUGGUGUGAAAUCUCCCGGCUCAACUGGGAGGGUGCGCCGAAUACUGAAUGACUAGAGCGCGGGAGAGGAGAGUGGAAUUCCUGGUGUAGCGGUGAAAUGCGUAGAUAUCAGGAGGAACACCGGUGGUGUAGACGGCUCUCUGGACCGUAACUGACGCUGAGGCACGAAAGCGUGGGUAGCAAACAGG
rnacentral:rRNA from 1 species